rnacentral:rRNA from 1 species
UACGGGGGAUGCAAGCGUUAUCCGGAAUUAUUGGGCGUAAAGCGUCCGUAGGUGGUUUUAAAAGUCUGUUGUCAAAGCGCGAGGCUUAACCUCGUACAGGCAGUGGAAACUAUAAGACUAGAGUGCGGUAGGGGUAGAGGGAAUUUCCAGUGUAGCGGUGAAAUGCGUAGAUAUUGGAAAGAACACCGGUGGCGAAGGCGCUCUACUGGGCCUGCACUGACACUGAGGGACGAAAGCUAGGGGAGCGAAAGGG